rnacentral:misc_RNA from 1 species
GAUGAAGAACUCAGCGAAAUGCGAUACGUAAUGUGAAUUGCAGAAUUCAGUGAAUCAUCGAAUCUUUGAACGCAUAUUGCGCUCUCUGGUAUUCCGGAGAGCAUGCUUGUUUGAGUAUCAGUAAACACCUCAACUCCCUUUUCUUUUUUGAAAUUGGAGCUGGACUUGAGUGAUCCCAACGCUUUCUUCCAAGAAAGUGGCGGGUUGCUUGAAAUGCAGGUGCAGCUGAACUUUUCUCUGAGCUAUAAGCAUAUCUAUUUAGUCUGCCUAAAAAACAGAUUACUACCUUUGCUGCAGCUAACAUAAAGGAGACUAGUUCUUGUGCUGACUGAUGCAGGAUUCACAGAGACAGCUUCGGCUGACUUUGUAAACUCGAUCUCAAAUCAAGUAAGACUACCCGCUGAACUUAAGCAUAUCAAUAAGCGGAGGA